rnacentral:rRNA from 1 species
AUUGAACGCUGGCGGCAGGCCUAACACAUGCAAGUCGAACGAGUGGCGGACGGGUGAGUAAUGUCUGGGAAACUGCCUGAUGGAGGGGGAUAACUACUGGAAACGGUAGCUAAUACCGCAUACCAUCAGAUGUGCCCAGAUGGGAUUAGCUAGUUGGUGGGGUAACGGCUCACCAAGGCGACGAUCCCUAGAUGGUCUGAGAGGAUGACCCGCCACACUGGAAAUGAGACACGUUCCAGACACAUACGGGCGGAAGCAGUGGUGAAUAUUGCACACUGGGCGCAAGCCUGAUGCAGCCAUGCCGCGUGUAUGAAGAAGGCCUUCGGGUUGUAAAGUACUGUCAGCGGGGAGGCGUUACCCUCAGAAGAAGCACCGGCUAACUCCGGGCCAGCAGCCGCGGUAAUAC